rnacentral:lncRNA from 1 species
AAAAUUCAUCCCCAGAUCUCGUACUGAUACCCCCUCUUCUCUUUUUGUUUAAUCAGCUUGUUUUGGCAUUACGAUAAAGAGAGAAAGAAACCGGACACGCAACAUCUCCAUUGAAUCCAUCUAAUCUCUCCUCUGAUUGAACGCGAACCAAAGGAAGAACAUAAAUCGGAAGCCAUCCAAUUCUAGACCUUAAUCGGAGCGCUGAAAACCAAUUAAGGACUGACGUGAUUAAGAAUCAUUUGAAAUUGUGAUAAUGAUCGAGAAGGAAGAAACUAUGCCUGGCAGCAUUGGGUGAAUGGAUGUAGAAACAGAGGAAACUGAAAAUGGUAAUAAUGAUGUAUCUCGUCCCUAAAGAGGCUAAUGAUCAGCCGAAGGAACUACUAUACUAGAAACAAGCUUCUAAAAGGCUAUUGCAGAAUGGGAUACGGGUACUGAUGCGGGUCCUCUUGUAACUAGGCGUAGGCAUAUUCGGUUUGAAUCUCUUCAUGAAGGUAUAUAGGGGUGCUA